rnacentral:ncRNA from 1 species
UACUAGAGCUGAAAAUUUUCAAAAUGUAGGGCUGGUCGUCGAGCCAUGUGCAUCUGCCCGUGCACAUGAGAUGUCUAGGUUGUGCUGGUGCCUAACACCUGUCUGGUGGUGCCUAUGAGGUGUGCAUCCGUACAAGCACUUGAGACUGUCAUGGACAUGUGUCGUAACAUGCAUGCGGGGCUCAUGGGCUGCCUUUCGUGGGGACAUACCAGUGCCAUGGACAUGUGUCAUGGGCACAUGUGGGUUGUCACAUGGUUGUGUGGAACUGUCAAACGGGCAUGCUUGGCUCCUUCUUGGCUUGGCUUUGGGAGCCUUGUGGCACAUUUUGGCAUAAAAAUUGGGAUCAUUUCAUGGGACGUGACACUACACUCCGUAUACAUUAGCAUGGAAUAACAUCAUAAGAUUUAUAUCCAAUUCUAUUAGCUUUUGAGAUCGGAGUAAUGAUUAACAUAAAUAGCCGAGGGCAUUCGUGUUUCAUAGUCAAAGGUGAAAUUCUUAGAUUUAUGAAAAACGAACAACUGUGAAAGCAUUUGCCAAUGAUGUUUUCAUUGAUCAAGAAUUGAAGUUUAAGGCUCAAAGGCAACCAACUAUUAUCCUAGUCUCAACCAUAAACGAUGUUAACCAGGGAUUGGCAGAUAUCGCUUUAAGGACUUCACCAGAACAUUAUGAUAAAUCAAAAGUCUUUGCCAAGGGGAGUAUAGUUACAAAGCUGAAACUUAAAGGAAUUGACAGAAGGGAGCCACGUGGAGUGGAGCUUGCGGGGGUUAGUUUGACUCAACAUAGGAAAACUUACCAAGUCCAGACAUAGUAAAACUUUAAUAGCCCUUUCUUGAUUCUAUGGGUGGUGGGGCAUGGUCAUUCUUACUUGGUGGAGCAAUUUGUCUAGUUAAUUUUGUCAACGAACCAACCCUUAGCCUACUAACUAGCUAUGCGAAGGGGACUUUGCAGCCGGUUUCUUAGAGAGACUACGAUUGUUUAGGCCAAGGAAGUUUGAGGCACUAACAAGUCUAUGAUGCCCUUAGAUGUUAUGGGCCGCACACGUGUUGCACUAAUGUAUUUAACGAGUAUAUAGCCUUGGUUGACAAGUUCGAGUAAUCUUUGAAAUUUCAUCCCGAUGAAGAUAAGCUAUUGUAAUUGUUGGUCUUUAAUGAGGAAUUCCCAGUAAGCACGAGUUAUCAGCUCUCUUUAACUACGUUUCUGCUUUUUAUACUCACGAUCUGUU